rnacentral:rRNA from 1 species
UGCCUGCAGCCCAAGUGGUGCUCGUUAUUAUUGGGUCUAAAACGUCCGUAGUCGGCUGAGUAGAUGCCCGGGUAAAUCGCAGCGCUCAACGUUGCGAAUUCCGGGUAGACCGCUCGGCUAGGGAGUGGGAGAGGUGCGAGGUACUCUGAGGGUAGGGGUAAAAUCCUGUAAUCCUUGGGGGACCACCAGUGGCGAAGGCGUCGCACUAGAACACGUCCGACGAUCAGGGACGAAGCCCUGGGGCGCAAACGGG